AGCUGAUGGGCAGCACGGUGCCUAUGUUAGCCCCUGUGCCUGGCGCUGCAGAGGGGCACUGCUGCCCAAGGGGGUUGGGAACCAGCCCUGGGGCCUCUGGGGCAGAGUGGGUCGCGGUACCUGGAUGCUGUCCCCAGGGGGCACGGUGUGGUGGCCUGGCUGUGAAAUGAACCCGCUGGGCCUCAGUCCAGCUCCCUCCUGCGCAGGGGUCCCACAAAGCCCACCUCCCUAACUGGCCCCUUCUCAGGGCCCUGAAGGCUCAAACGGGCCAUGGAGUCGUGGGCAGGGCUGCAGGGCUGUGCCACUGAGCCCUGGGUACCAGGUCCAGGGUCUCGCCAGAGUGCUGGGGCGGGGGUCACAGCCUUGCUGAGGGGGAUACAGUUAUGAAGAGAGCCUGGCAGCACGGGGGUGGGGACGGGACACGUGGUGAGCUCAGUCCCUCUUGCCAGCGCCCCCCAAUGUCCAUCCUGCAGGAGCAGGGCAGGCCCAUGUCCUCCAGCCUCCUGGGUCUUCACUAGACACUCACCCCCCCCCCCCCCCCACCGCUAGGGCAAGGGGCCUAGCAACAGUCAACCCUCCGCCAGGCUGGAUGGUCAGAGGGAAAAACUCGGCCCGCCGAGCCCAGCGUAGAGAAAUGCAGCUGCAAACAGAGGUGCCCUGCGUGUGAGCAGGGAUGCCUCUGAGUGUGUGAGGAGAAGGGCCCACAGUGGGUGCAUAUGGAGAGGUGCCCAUUGUGGGUGUGUAAGGAAAGGUGCCCAUGCGGUGUGUGAGAGGAGGGGGUACCUGCAGUGGGUGUGUAAGGAGUGGUGCCCAUGGAGGGUGUGAGAGGAGAGGUGCCCAUGGUGGGUGUGUAAGGAGGUGCCCAUGGUGGGUGUGUAAGGGGAGGUGCCCAUGGUGGGUGUGUGAGGAGAGGUGCCCAUAGUGAGUGUGUGAGGAGAGAUGCCCAUGGAGGGCGUGUAAGAAGAGAUGCCCAUGGAGGGCGUGUAAGAAGAGGUGCCGAUGGUGGGUGUGUAAGGAGGAGCCCAUGGUGGGUGUGUAAGAAGAGGUGCCCAUGGUGGGUGUGUAAGGGGACAUGCCCAUGGAGGGCGUGUAAGAAGAGGUGCCGAUGGUGGGUGUGUAAGGAGGUGCCGAUGGUGGGUGUGUAA